CGGGCCAAAAAUGGUCAACUCUUUGGACACUCGUGAACAGGUGGUGCAUGGUUGUCGUCAGCUCGUGUCGUGAGAUGUUGGGUUAAGUCCCGCAACGAGCGCAACCCUCGUUCUAUGUUGCCAGCGCGUAAUGGCGGGAACUCAUAGGAGACUGCCGGGGUCAACUCGGAGGAAGGUGGGGAUGACGUCAAAUCAUCAUGCCCCUUAUGUCUUGGGCUUCACGCAUGCUACAAUGGCCGGUACAAAGGGCUGCGAUACCGUAAGGUGGAGCGAAUCCCAAAAAGCCGGUCUCAGUUCGGAUUGAGGUCUGCAACUCGACCUCAUGAAGUCGGAGUCGCUAGUAAUCGCAGAUCAGCAACGCUGCGGUGAAUACGUUCCCGGGUCUUGUACACACCGA
rnacentral:rRNA from 1 species